rnacentral:rRNA from 1 species
CCUCACUCUCACUGGCAUGGCACUCACGGGGCAAAACCCCACCGGCCAGUCCAAGCCGCAGGACGCCGGUAAAACCCAUCAUAAGUCUCCUCUCCUCCCCGGAGCGUCUGCCCGACGGUUGGGGUGAAAAACCAGGAGCGCAGGUUCGCUCACCUGCCCGCUCCAGUGUUCCGUGCUUCCUGUUUGUUUAUUCAUUCACUCAUUCACUCACAGCACAACGCCAACUCCAACGCUAACGCCUCGCCUCAGCUAUACAUCGGGAGCUGCCGCGUCGUCCGUGCGUGGGGGACCGGCCGCGCACAUCGGAGCCCCGCCGCCUCGGCGAGCCGGCCCGCCGGACGCCAUGGCUGCCGGCGACGAGCCCUCCGUCACCCGCUGGUCCUUCCAGGACUUCGAGCGCUACUACGACGCGGGCCUCGGCAUCUGCCGCCAGCCCAAGGGCGACGGCGACGACGACGACGACGCGCCGCCCGGAUCGGGCUCCGCCGACGCCGCCCACGGCCACGCCAACGGCGGCGCUGACCUGUCCGUCUUCGAGCAGUUCCAGCGGCUGGAUAGAAAUGUUGAGUUGCGCAAUGGGGCAAUGGAUGUCGGGCCACCGCAGAAAUCCAUGCUUCCUUCUUUUGAAUCUGCAGAAACAUGCAACUUAGCCGAGACAUUGUUGAGGGAUAUCAUUCGUGGGAGUCCAGAUGUCAAAUGGGAAAGCAUUAAAGGUUUGGAAACUGCGAAGCGACUUCUUAAGGAGGCAGUUGUCAUGCCUAUAAAGUAUCCCAAGUACUUCACAGGUCUGUUAUCACCCUGGAAAGGUAUAUUGCUAUUUGGUCCACCAGGAACAGGAAAGACAAUGCUGGCAAAAGCUGUGGCUACCGAGUGCAAAACAACUUUUUUCAACAUUUCAGCCUCAUCAAUUGUCAGCAAAUGGCGUGGUGACUCGGAGAAACUAGUAAAAGUCUUAUUUGAGCUUGCAAGGCAUCAUGCACCAUCUACCAUUUUCCUUGAUGAGAUUGAUGCCAUCAUUAGCCAACGUGGUGAAGCUCGUAGUGAACAUGAAGCCAGUCGGCGAUUGAAGACUGAACUAUUAAUACAGAUGGAUGGGUUGACUAAGACAGAUGAGCUUGUUUUUGUUCUGGCGGCCACAAAUUUACCUUGGGAACUAGAUGCAGCAAUGUUACGCCGAUUGGAAAAACGUAUUCUUGUGCCCUUACCAGAGGCAGAAGCCAGGCAUGCUAUGUUUGAAGAGUUCCUUCCAUCGACUCCAGACACAAUGGAGAUUCCAUAUGAUGUUCUUGUGGAGAGCACCGAAGGAUAUUCCGGCUCUGAUAUACGCCUUGUUUGUAAGGAGGCAGCAAUGCAACCACUUAGACGGUUAAUGGCAGUUCUAGAAGGCAGACAAGAAGAAAUGCCAGAGGAUGAGUUGCCUGAAGUUGGCCCAAUAGCGGCAGAAGAUAUUGAACUUGCCUUGAGGAAUACACGGCCGUCUGCUCAUCUCCAUGCACAUAGAUAUGAGCAAUUCAAUCAAGAUUAUGGCAGCCAUGUCAUCGGCUAAAGGAGCAUGUUGAUAUGACCUCGUUUGCACCCUGUAUGGAGCUUUAGUAUUCGUCAGCAGAAAGAAUAAUUACCAUACAUGUAUUUCCAGCUCGUAAGCAUUGCUUGUGUAUAAUAUUUAUUCCAUCAUCAUUUAUAUUACCAUUUAUAUCACAAGCAAUAAGCCCUUUGGGCAUUCAAGCUCUACCGACUUUUGGCUUGCCAUCCCCAAACCUGUGGCGUCAUUCGUUGGCGUGUAUUUUAUGGUGGGCAGCUUGAAGCUUUGGUCCUCGGCUUGUUUU